GUGGGGAAUAUUGGGCAAUGGGGGAAACCCUGACCCAGCAACGCCGCGUGAGGGAAGAAGGUUUUCGGAUUGUAAACCUCUGUCCUUGGUGACGAAGGAAGUGACGGUAGCCAAGGAGGAAGCCCCGGCUAACUACGUGCCAGCAGCCGCGGUAUUACGCAGGGGGCAAGCGUUGUCCGGAAUGACUGGGCGUAAAGGGCGUGUAGGCGGCCGUUUAAGUCUGGAGUGAAAGUCCUGCAUUCAAGGUGGGGAUUGCUUUGGAGACUGGUUGGCUUGAGUGCGGAAGAGGUAAGUGGAAUUCCUAGUGUAGCGGUGAAAUGCGUAGAGAUUGGGAGGAACACCAGUGGCGAAGGCGAAUUACUGGGCCGUAACUGACGCUGAGGCGCGAAAGCGUGGGGAGCGAACAGGAUUAGAAACCCCUGUAGUCC
rnacentral:rRNA from 1 species